GCCUGGGACCACGCAGGAAGGAGAUGAGAGCCAUAAAUCAUAAUAUAGGAGACAUCUACAAUAACGAGGCCUGGGAAUCCCUUUGCUGAUUAUCUUCACAUUUGAUUUGCAGUCGCUUCACCUGGUCGUUAGUGGUAGAAUCAACCAGCACUACGUCUGGAGCUCGCUGAGGUGGCGGCACAAGAGGCUGCAGGAAAACUGGUUGAAGCAGAGCAGCUCGUCGCCGCCGUACGUGUUCACUGAGAGAGGAAGGGAAAGACUUUUAACAGCUGUACAGUCGGGAGGAUGAAAAACCGUGAGGACUCUUUCACCAUCAAGGAGGAUAACAGCCCCGGAGCCUUUGUCCAAAAUGUCUGCGAUGGUGGCCUCCGAGGGUUGAUGCCAGAGGUGGAGGAUGCAGCAGGAGCAGAAGUUGGGCCGGCGUCAACGUUCUGCCCCGACUCCACCUUGGACAGUACGCUCACAAUGGACUGAAGAGAUUCUGCAAAGAGAGAGAAAUCCUGGUUAAGGCA